UGGAAGUAAAAGUCGUAACAAGGUCUCCGUUGGUGAACCAGCGGAGGGAUCAUUACUGAGUUUACGCUCUACAACCCUUUGUGAACAUACCUAUAACUGUUGCUUCGGCGGGUAGGGUCUCCGUGACCCUCCCGGCCUCCCGCCCCCGGGCGGGUCGGCGCCCGCCGGAGGAUAACCAAACUCUGAUUUAACGACGUUUCUUCUGAGUGGUACAAGCAAAUAAUCAAAACUUUUAACAACGGAUCUCUUGGUUCUGGCAUCGAUGAAGAACGCAGCGAAAUGCGAUAAGUAAUGUGAAUUGCAGAAUUCAGUGAAUCAUCGAAUCUUUGAACGCACAUUGCGCCCGCCAGCAUUCUGGCGGGCAUGCCUGUUCGAGCGUCAUUUCAACCCUCAAGCUCUGCUUGGUGUUGGGGCCCUACAGCUGAUGUAGGCCCUCAAAGGUAGUGGCGGACCCUCCCGGAGCCUCCUUUGCGUAGUAACUUUACGUCUCGCACUGGGAUCCGGAGGGACUCUUGCCGAAAAACCCCCAAAUCACGAAGGUCACUAGCG
rnacentral:rRNA from 1 species